CAAACAAAACACAAAUCGUUAAAUCGCAAGCAUUUCAAAACACUGACAGCUGAUAUUACACCGUAUCAGCGAUAUUUCAAUUAAGCAAGAAUAAAAUAGCAGGAUAAAUAAAAUUAUGCUCCCUGUUGGACCAACUUAAAACAUUCUCAUUUAAUCAAAAUGGAAAAUUGUAACAGGGAUUGUCAAUAAUUUUACUGUUAUUAUUAGAAGAAUAAUAACAAUCCUUUGCAGUAUUCUGUUAGACUUUAAAAGCAGAAUAGCCACAAUUUCUACACUUUAUAAUGGGUGUAAGUCAAUUAAUCCAGAGCUAUCAAUUUCCAUGAGUCAUGACAACAAAAUCAGGAUUUGGAUAUGUUAAACUUGGAAAUCUCAUUUAAUAAUGAGAGUGAAGCAGUUGUAAUAGUUGAUUUAUUAACCAAUAAUAACAAUAUGCAUAUACAGUGCCUUCGAAGGAACUUCUAUAUAUAGUAUGUUACAACGUGAGGCUCUUAAAAUGAUACUGCUGGAUGGACUAGCAUGUAAAGAUGAAACAUUAACUUAAGAAAUAGAGAAUGUAGAAAGAAAUGUGUGAAACACAUUACACGCACCAUUAAUACAAAAGUAUGUGGAGAAAGCAGUGUCAUAUUCAAUUUGCGUACU